rnacentral:rRNA from 1 species
CACGCCGUAAACGGUGGGCGCUAGGUGUGGGGAACAUUUCCACGUUCUCCGUGCCGUAGCUAACGCAUUAAGCGCCCCGCCUGGGGAGUACGGCCGCAAGGCUAAAACUCAAAGGAAUUGACGGGGGCCCGCACAAGCGGCGGAGCAUGCGGCUUAAUUCGAUGCAACGCGAAGAACCUUACCUGGGCUUGACAUGGAGACUAAUUCGGCAGAGAUGUCGGAGCCUUCGGGGGUCUCACACAGGUGG